UUAGAAAGUAGUUUUUGUUUGUUUGUUUUCAACUUUGUUCCUCUCCUCUUUCCUAGGACAGCGAGGACGCGGCCUUGACGGUGGUGUACAUUGCAAUCAUCCAGAGCAAAUGGAGCUUUACGACAAAGAAUGUCAUAAAAGAAGCACAUACAUCCUGAUCAAAAGGGGUAUCAUGGAGGUUUCAACUCAUGAGUGUGAUUAUUAGUCAUUUGUGACUAACUCAGGUUCUACUCCUCAUCAAUAACUUCAUCAGCACUUUAACCCACUGUUGCACUCCCAGCUGGAUGAGUGAUUAGAAGAGAAGGCCUAGUCAGAAGAAACAAGUUAUGAUGGAUGUGCCUCUGAAGAGUUAUUUCCUGUCCAGCUUUCCUCCUCUCCACCUCCCUCCUUCCUGGCUUCUAUGAAGCGGACGUCGUAGCUCUGCCAUGAUGUAUGCCUUAUCUCAGGCCCAAAGCAAUGGAACCAGCUGCAUCCUGUAAGAAUAGGCGGCCUUGCAUUCGCAGUGCUCUGGCUCCUUAGAACAUCCAGUUGUGCAUGAUCUCGGCGGGACAGUAUUGCCCAAUGGCCGACUGCGUUACAGAAGGUGAAGGGAACAGAACUCUUCCUGACUCAGCAUGACCAGAGGCCAGGCAUGGGACCAAAGCUCAUGUGAGAAGAAGAUGGCGCAGGGCUUCUGACACAGACAGCAGGAAAAUCUGGAAGGUGCCAUGCAGAGAGGGCAGGCUUUCCUCUCCUGAUUUAAGAGAAGCCGGGUUCAUAAUGCCACCUUUACAGCUCCCUCCACUCCUGCCUGCCUGACCCUUGAAGUUUCCGCCACUCUGUAGCCUCUCCCACAGACUUCCCAUAACUCCCUCAAAUCCAAGUCAACAUCUGUGACCCUGUUGCAUACAAAGUUACGUAAACAGCUAAAUGUCAGACUUGUGGGGCGGCAUCAAAGGAGACAGGCUAUCCACUCUCUCACAUCAUGGUCGGAUUAAAGAGAUCUAUUUAAAUCCUGCCUUAAAUUAAGCAGGCAGCUCCAGCGAAAACCAGAGAAAGAACAAAUGCCAAUGGAAAGAUUAGACUUGCCCUAUGCAGAUUAGAUUGUGUGACUCUGGAAUAGAAGUUAAUCUACCUAAUGGCACAUAAAAUCAUUUACUUUAUGAGAAAAUCAGUUGCAAUUGGAAAGGACUCCUCAGCUUGCCCCUGCUCACCCCCACCCCUACUCCACAAAAUAGAAACAAAGUGGAUAGGAUAUGUGUGCUCAUGCACACGGCCAGUGGGUACACCGGGAAACAGAGUUUAUGAGAUACAAAGUGUCUGAAACCUUAUUCUGGUGCCAAGAAGUGGCUUGCAUAAAGGGGACAGGAGCAAGCUUUGUUCUUGAGAUGUUGGACAACUUGGGUAUGAUGCAGUCCUACCUGACUCUCACACAAGGAGAAGGAGAGAUCAGUUAAAGCCAAGCCGAAUGCUGUUCUUCCCCUUGGACUCCAAAUGACUUGGGAGAAUUCAGCUGGCCCAUCAGUAAAGAGCAGCUCUGGGCUCUAUUAAGGACUAGCUAAUAUCCCAAGAAAAGAACUGGGAGCCAUGAGAUGGCUUAGUGAGUAAAGAAUGCUUGCCACGAAAGCAUGAGAACCAGAUCCCCGGCACUCAAAUAAAAAGCCAGGUAUGGCCCAGAAUAGCUGGAACUCUGGGGAGAGAUAGGAAAAUCACUGUAGCCUACUGACCAGCCAGCCUAGCUGAAAGGGUAACCUCCAGGGUCACUGAGAGACUUUACUGAUCUCAAGGGAAUAAGAAAGAGAAUGAUAGAGCAGGACACCCCACAUUACUGCAGAAAUUGGGAUUCCCUUUGAGAUUCUUAGUUCUGUUAAUAAGAGAAUUUGGAAACAGAGUCAGAAGGAAGUAUGGUUUAAAAGAAAAACAGGGCAGACAAGCUCUUAAUCUCAGCAGUUUUCAGGAGUUGAGAGACGGGAAAGAGAAAGCUAUGCCCUUUGAACUAGGAUCCUAAGUGCUGGCCUGUCUCCUGGCAGAACGCACUCAGGCAGUACCCCUGGCCAGCCCAGGUUUCCAUGGCUGCUACUUCACUAUGUAGUCUGCACGAAGGUGCAAAGGACCCUUUAAAA